rnacentral:lncRNA from 1 species
AAUAAGUUAACUAAUAUUAACACACACCAUAGUAGUGUACCAAGGCUGUACAUUUACGGACGAGGGUGAAGAAGCUUCCUCGUGGUUGAUAAGUUAACGUCAACGGUUGAUCAUUUGCUGCCAUUUCCCACUGCUCCAUACAAUUUUCGUUUGUCUUUUUCUUCCGCUCACGUACAAACCCACACAGGACGGAACUUGAGACUAUUUUAAUUUUUAACAAGCAAGUAAAUAUCAGCAUUAUCUAAUCACAAAAAUUAGUUUUUUUUUUUUUUUUUUUGUCAAAUAUCUAAUUGUUGAGAAUUCACAUGAGUGGGAUAUCUAGUUAAGAUUUAAGUUGGUAUCAUUAGUUUAACUCAGUUGGUAG